UACGAAGGGGGCUAGCGUUGCUCGGAAUCACUGGGCGUAAAGGGUGCGUAGGCGGGCUUUUAAGUCAGGGGUGAAAUCCUGGAGCUCAACUCCAGAACUGCCUUUGAUACUGAGGAUCUUGAGUACGGGAGAGGUGAGUGGAACUGCGAGUGUAGAGGUGAAAUUCGUAGAUAUUCGCAAGAACACCAGUGGCGAAGGCGGCUCACUGGCCCGUAACUGACGCUGAGGCACGAAAGCGUGGGGAGCAAACAGG
rnacentral:rRNA from 1 species